rnacentral:rRNA from 1 species
GUGAGGAAUAUUGGGCAAUAGGGGCAACCCUGACCCAGCCAUGCCGCGUGAAGGAUGAAUGCCCUAUGGGUUGUAAACUUCUUUUGUACGGGACGAAUCCCCCGCACGUGUGCGGGGUUGACGGUACUGUAUGAAUAAGCAUCGGCUAACUCCGUGCCAGCAGCCGCGGUAAUACGGAGGAUGCAAGCGUUAUCCGGAUUCAUUGGGUUUAAAGGGUGCGUAGGCGGAAUGAUAAGUCAGUGGUGAAAGCCUGCAGCUUAACUGUAGAAAUGCCAUUGAUACUGUCGUUCUUGAAUGCGGUUGAGGUAAGCGGAAUAUGUAAUGUAGCGGUGAAAUGCGUAGAUAUUACAUAGAACACCGAUUGUGUAGACAGCUUACUAAGCCGUGAUUGACGCUGAGGCACGAAAGCGUGGGGAUCAAACAGGAUUAGAAACCCCGGUAGUCC